GGAGUGAUGGCCGAGUAGGUCGAAGGCGCUCGAUUGCUAAUCGAGUAUACGGCUAAAACCGUAUCGAGGGUUCGAAUCCCUCUCGCUCCGCCA
rnacentral:tRNA from 1 species